rnacentral:RNase_P_RNA from 1 species
UGAGCAGGCUGAAUGACUGCGCUCAUCGACCAAAUGGGUGAGGAAAGUCCGAGCACCACAGAGCAGGAUGCCGGCUAACGACCGGUGAAGGCGACUUCAAGGAAAGUGCAGCAGAGAUAUACCGCUUCAGUAAUGGAGUAAGGGUGAAAAGGCGAGGUAAGAGCUCACCGGGGCUUUUGGUAACAAUUGCCUCAUGUAAACCCCGUCCGGUGCAAGAUUGAAAUGGGAGCAUUUAAUGGCUGCUCGUCAAGCUCCUCGUAAUCGCGUGAGCCUUUCGGCGACGAUUGGCCAAGAUAGAUAGUCAUUUAUAACAGAACUCGGCUUAUGGCCUGACUCAAAAU